rnacentral:rRNA from 1 species
AUUGAACGCUGGCGGCAGGCCUAACACAUGCAAGUCGAACGGUAACAGGAAGCAGCUUGCUGCUUCGCUGACGAGUGGCGGACGGGUGAGUAAUGUCUGGGAAGCUGCCUGAUGGAGGGGAUAACUACUGGAAACGGUAGCUAAUACCGCAUAAUGUCGCAAGACCAAAAAGAGGGGGGACCCUUUCGGGGCCUCUUGCCAUCGGAUGUGCCCAGAUGGGAUUAGCUUGUUGUGGGUAACGGCUCACCAAGGCGACGAUCCCUAGCUGGUCUGAGAGGAUGACCAGCCACACUGGAACUGAGACAGGUCCAGACUCCUACGGAGGCAGCAGUGGGAAUAUUGCACAAUGGGCGCAAGCCUGAUGCAGCCAUGCCGCGUGUAUG